UUUGAGUUUGUUAUAAUUAGUUUAUGAUAUCUUAAAAUAUUACUCUCUACCCCUCUUGCUCUCUCAAUCUCCUUCUCGGCCCUAACCCAAAACCCCUAAAUCGUUCCCAGCGGCCACCGCUAUGAUCCUCUCCCACCGGCCACUCCCUGAUUUUCUUGGUAACCUCGCUGAUGGGGGAGAAGGUUAGAUUCUUGUAUUUCCUUUUGUAGGCUAUGAUUUGUAUCAAUAUAAGGUCUUGUGGCGAAAGAAAGACGAGAUUUAUUAGAACAUAGUUCUUAAUUUUUUUGGUAUUAUUUUGCAACGCAGUAUGAAUCCAGAAAGAAGGUCAACUGUAUGCUCGUUUUGGUAUCUUCUUUAAGAAUUUGAGUUAAAAUAUAUAAUAGUUGUUUAUAUGGGAUAUUAGAAUGGUUUACGCUGUUUUCCCAAGUCAAAGUACUUUAAUGGCAAAGUUGUUUUAUAAACAAUUGAAAAAUCUAAAACAUCUUUGUGGUUCUUAAAAGUUCUAGGACAAUUAGUUAAAUAUAAUUGGUUUUCAGGGAGUAAGAAUAUUUGGUUUUUACUUUCUGGUUCUCUGUUUUACGUGUUUCACUUAACAAAACCUAGUAACUGAAAACAUUAUGCUCGCUCGCUGCUUCUAAAAGGAUACAUUUGAUUUCAAUAAACCAAAGUUCUAACAGGUAUCUACGAAUCUCUCAUUUUCUGUUAUAUUUUGUAAUAUUUUUUUUCUCUUUAUAUUACAUUCUUUCGUUCUCUGUUUCCCUAUCUAUUUGAUCUGCUAUUACAUAUGAAUUUGGGAUUGGGAACAUAUCAAAUGCAUUUAAUGUUUUUAAUGAAAUGCCUGAAUUUAGUCUGAGUGUCAUUUUGAGUGGUUGUUGUAUGUUAAUUAUUGUGAACCGGUCCAAGUCAAUAAAAAAUGAUUCUAUAAUUGUAACCUUCAAUUCGGUUAGUGUUUACCCUUUUAAUCCUUUUAGUUGUUGAAUUGUUUAAUUAGAAUACUUUAGAGAAUUUCCUCAGAGAAAUACAGAGGUACUCUAAAAAUGGGUUGAGCAUUAAGUUGACUUGUAUUUUCUCUUCCAUCAAAACUCUGUAUGGAUAAUGUUUACAAAAGUUUUUCUUGACCACUACUUAAUAAUAUUCAGUUCAUGGUUCUUUUUGAUAUAUUGAUUUAAGGUAGUUAUACCAGUAGUUCUGUCUUAGCCUCAAUUUGAACUUCUUCUUUUUCAGGUGAGGUUAGUCUACACAUUUCUUCAAAGUUCAAGCCAGAAUGAGUAGUUCCAGUCCAAAAAAUGAUACAAAUAAUUCACCGAGCAGCUCAAGUGAACCAGUAAUGGUUUGAGGCCAAGACAUUUAGAACAUUUGCGUUGUUCAUAGUGUCACAAGUGGAGUAAUGGGUCUGUACUAAUAUUCUGAUUCUAUGUUUCAUGUUUCUUGUGAGACCCCGAAUUUUAUGAAAUGAAAAUAUUCAAUUUUCUUAUAAUUAUUCUAUUUAGUAAAUGGUUAAAUUGAUAAAAGGUUAAAGUUAAGGGUGAUAUGUGAAAUUUUUUCAAAGUAAGCAAGUUGUUAUAUAAUAUUCGAUUGGUCAGGGAAUAUUCGUUUUAACAGGGAAUAUUCGUACGAC
rnacentral:lncRNA from 1 species